UAGGGAAUAUUGGACAAUGGGGGCAACCCUGAUCCAGCCAUGCCGCGUGAGUGAAGAAGGCCCUCGGGUUGUAAAGCUCUUUCGCCCGCGAAGAUAAUGACGGUAGCGGGAGAAGGAGCCCCGGCUAACUCCGUGCCAGCAGCCGCGGUAAUACGGAGGGGGCUAGCGUUGUUCGGAAUUACUGGGCGUAAAGCGUACGUAGGCGGAUGCGCAAGUUGGGGGUGAAAUCCCGGGGCUUAACCUCGGAAUUGCCCUCAAAACUGCACGUCUUGAGACCGAGAGAGGUAAGGGGAAUUCCUAGUGUAGAGGUGAAAUUCGUAGAUAUUAGGAAGAACACCAGUGGCGAAGGCGCCUUACUGGCUCGGUACUGACGCUGAGGUACGAAAGCGUGGGGAGCAAACA
rnacentral:rRNA from 1 species